rnacentral:rRNA from 1 species
AUGAACGCUGGCGGCGUGCCUAAUCCAUGCAAGUCGAGCGAACAGAUCAGGAGCUUGCUCCUUUGACGUUAGCGGCGGACGGGUGAGUAACACGUGGGUAACCUACCUAUAAGACUGGGAUAACUUCGGGAAACCGGAGCUAAUACCGGAUAACAUUUGGAACCGCAUGGUUCUAAAGUGAAAGAUGGUUUUGCUAUCACUUAUAGAUGGACCCGCGCCGUAUUAGCUAGUUGGUAAGGUAACGGCUUACCAAGGCAACGAUACGUAGCCGACCUGAGAGGGUGAUCGGCCACACUGGAACUGAGACACGGUCCAGACUCCUACGGGAGGCAGCAGUAGGGAAUCUUCCGCAAUGGGCGAAAGCCUGACGGAGCAACGCCGCGUGAGUGAUGAAGGGUUUCGGCUCGUAAAACUCUGUUAUUAGGGAAGAACAAACGUGUAAGUAACUGUGCACGUCUUGACGGUACCUAAUCAGAAAGCCACGGCUAACUACGUG